CUUCUUGACCACGGGAGUUGUCAAGCAUUAUUCCAAACAAAAUGCACGAAAUGUCAUUUACUCCUUAAUGGACGAGGGCUGUGUUCGUAGAUACUUCUGCCUGCUUUAUGAUUGACAUGUCUGCAUUGAAGAAAAAUGGCAAAUACUUGAAAUAGGGCCUAUGUACAAUUCAUUUUGCUGGUCGAAUGGAAGCUGAUAUUUUGGAGCAUGUCCUUUAUUCACCAUGAAACUACCAGUGUCAGUCUCAAACAGUAGGCACUAUGUGCUGCCUGGUCACCCUGGCUGUUUUGUAGGCUAAAGUGCUACAAAGUACCCAUGACUCCAGAGAGUCAGGCUCUCAGCUUGCCCCCACGGCCUGAUAUUUCAUCCUCCCUGGAUGACAUGCAGAAUAUAAUGCUGUCAUCAGCUGGCAUUGUUUGUCUUAACAGGCAGCGCAGGUGACUUGGAAAGUGCAUCCUGUCCCACCGCAAUCUCAGAAAAUUUACAAUGGCAAGAAUCUUGCAAAAAACCUCCAUGGUGAUCAAACACCUGCUCAAGAAAACAACUGAAGACAACCCGCAUUCUUGGCAGCUCGGAUGCGAUCGCUGAUGACUGCUUGAGCCUCCUCCAUGGUUGUAUCUCUGAGCAUCUUGCUUUAUCUGUGGUUACGAAACACAGCCAGAACAGCAUGUAUACUCCUGAGGGCAAGCUAGACAAAAUGAGCUAUGUAAGUGAAAACUUCAUGUUAUAUAUACUGCAUCUCAUCAAUCGUUGCAUAAAACAUUUUUUUGGUUUCUUUUUUUCUUUAUCAGCACAUUAGCCUGGGUUUUGUAAUGCCACACCAACGUGUAAAGCAUGUACAUGCAAGUCGUUUUAAUUACGGUGAAAGUCAAAUCACUAUGGCAACCUAGACAGGUGUUUCGUAACAUGUCAAAGCCUGUGACAAGAUUUGUUUUCUCUUGAUGUGCAUCAGAAAGCAAAUUUGACAA
rnacentral:lncRNA from 1 species